rnacentral:rRNA from 1 species
CCUACGGGUGGCAGCAGUGAGGAAUAUUGGUCAAUGGCCGGAAGGCUGAACCAGCCAUGCCGCGUGAAGGUCAGUGCCCUAUGGGCGUUAAACUUCUUUUGUGCGGGAGCAAUAAUGGUCACGUGUGGCCAGACGAGAGUACCGUACGAAUAAGCAUCGGCUAACUCCGUGCCAGCAGCCGCGGUAAUACGGGGGAUGCAAGCGUUAUCCGGAUUUAUUGGGUUUAAAGGGUGCGUAGGCUGUGAGGUAAGUCAGCGGUGAAAUGCCCCCGCUCAACGGGGUGAAGUGCCAUUGAUACUGCCUGGCUGGAAUGCGGAUGCCGUGGGAGGAAUGUGUGGUGUAGCGGUGAAAUGCAUAGAUAUCACACAGAACACGGAUUGCGAAGGCAUCUCACGAAUCCGCGAUUGACGCUGAUGCACGAAAGCGCGGGUAUCAAACAGGAUUAGAUACCCUUGUAGUC